UGAAGUCCUUAAAUAUUCCCAAGGGAGUACGUCGGGUGCUUUUCAGAACACUCAACACUGACAGGAAGCUUAUGUUUAAAAAUCAGUUCGAUACAAGCUAUGUAGGAUUCACAAAGGAUGGAGCACAAUGGUUGGUGGAGAACACUGACAUCAAGAUGGUUGGAAUUGAUUAUUUAUCUGUUGCCGCCUGGACUGAUUUGAUUCCAUCUCAUCUCGUCUUUCUAAAGAGCAGGGAAAUCAUUCUUGUAGAAGCCUUAAAACUUGAUAACGUUCAACCUGGAAUAUAUUCUGUCCACUGCUUACCUCUAAGGUUGCUUGGUGCUGAGGGAUCCCCAAUAAGAUGCAUUCUCAUCAAAUAAUUAUUUUUUUCAGUGCACAAUAUGUCCUUAGGAGUCAAAAGCAGAAUAAGACGGUGUAAAAUGAGACUGUAAAUGAUCAUAAGGAGGGAUGCUGUUUAAACAUGUUUUUAUGGUGUGUUUGCCCUCAUUACAUAAACUUAUUUGAGAAUUAUCUUAAACUAGUCAUUUGCCUUUGCCUGUACGAUGUGUCAGUUUUAAAAUUUA
rnacentral:misc_RNA from 1 species